UACAGAGGGGGCAAGCGUUGUUCGGAAUUACUGGGCGUAAAGGGCGCGUAGGCGGCCGCCUAAGUCAGACGUGAAAUCCCUCGGCUCAACCGGGGAACUGCGUCUGAUACUGGGUGGCUUGAAUCCGGGAGAGGGAUGCGGAAUUCCAGGUGUAGCGGUGAAAUGCGUAGAUAUCUGGAGGAAUACCGGUGGCGAAGGCGGCAUCCUGGACCGGCAUUGACGCUGAGUGAGCGAAAGCCAGGGGAGCAAACGGG
rnacentral:rRNA from 1 species